rnacentral:lncRNA from 1 species
AUUGGAAUUUUGUUGUGAGUUUUACAUUUAGAAGAAAAUUACUGGUUUAUUGCUUGCUUGAUAGCAGAAAAGAUGGCGACGCCCCUCUUCUCUGUUAAGAUUUAGAAUUGGGUUUCUGUGGUUUUAAAAUAAGGUUCUGGUUUUUCCUCUGCAUGAGUUAUAUCUUCUAUAGCAUUACAACACUACCGAUUAAAGAAAAUGAUGUGUUGCAUGGUUCCUCAAAAUACCUGUUUAUUUGUUCCUUGAUAAUCAGGUGUGAUACGGAUGUGGAUGUAUGUAUUGUCUGGGCACAACAGUUGCUAAAUUUUAGAAUAAACUUUAUGCUUAAUUAAAUAACAGACCUUGUAUUUGUACUUUGGAUAAAUCUCUAAGAUAGAUAUGGCCGCCUCGUUUUCGUCUUAAUUCUUAUCUUGUUUAUGACUCAUUGCUUAUUGAGCUGGGGUGCUCAUCUUAUAUCAUUUUUUUAUUUUUUUGUGUUACCUUAAUAUUAUCCUGCAUUAUAUUCUGUUGUUUUGGUGUAUAUGCUUGCUAGAUUAGUGUGAUUUCUCUUCUCUCAAAUCAUCAAUGGAUAUAUUUGGUGUUUAUGUUAACCCUACACUUUCUGUUAGGUGUAUUGAAAUGUGAUGAAUGUUUGGUUCAUGGAAGGAACUGGCCAUUGAGGUAGCCUUUUGAGUUGUUACUGUAUGUAAGUAUAAAUAAUUCAGCUUGUCUGUCUAUGAUAUGUUAUCCAGCAAGUUCAUUAAGGAAUUUGUUGUGUAUUGUGUUAAUUUUCUGAACACUAAUAAAGCUUCCUCUACAUCUGAGAUUAUAGGAUACAUCCUUUGACCAUAUGGUCUUGUGUCAAAUGACUGUUAUCUGGACCUUUGAUUGUAUGGAAGGGUAUCAGUUGUCCCAACUUAGUCAUGUAGCAAUAAGACUGAAUCAAAAUGCUAGAAUUGCAUUUCCUUUUAGGUUUCGAAACUCAAAGGUUUAUGAAUCAGUGUCUUCUUAGAUUGUUUUGGGCAAUAUCAGGUUUACAAGGAUAUGCCAUGUUAUGAUGGCUGUGUUGUGGCUAAAGAUAAAUAUAUAUAGGUACAUACAUAACUCGGUAUCAAAUUUAAUUGUUGUUAAGUACUUGCUGCCGGUACUUUAGCUACUAUAAAAUCUGUUAGUGUGUGUCUGUUGACCUGACAUUGGGAUUUUGCGACUCAAUUUGGACAAUGUGUCUACCCUCUUGGUUUAUAUUUAUCUGGUCAUGCACUACAUCUACAUUUAUGUAUCCUACAGUUGUGAAAUUUGAUGUUAGUCAGGACUAGUAUGAAUCAAUGAGUUAUAAUGUUGUAACUCUAGAAGCUUCCUUUUGCUUUGAUUUCCUUCCUUUCUUGGUUGUUUGUUUGGUUGCUUUGCUCUAGGGCAAGUUACACAUGUCAAGUCACUUUACAACUGCAUGUGUUUAUGGUUUGUCUAUUGUAUAGCAGGACCUUAUAUAUUGUGAAUCUAUUAUUGGCAGUGCUUGAUUAAUAUAUAGUCAUGUGAUAUAGUGAUCAAGAUACCUGGUUUGGCUAGAGUGCUAUAGGAUGGCACUGAGGUCAGUUUCAGCUUCAAUUUAUGUAAUCUGUUGGUUUUGCCUUUGGGAAAGUUUCGAGUUAAUUUUAGUAAUUUACAGCUUUAGUUCUAAGCUGAGGCAGAUUUUAAGGCUUUAUGAAUGCACUUGUGAUCAGUCUUUCAUAAAUCAUAAUGAAGUUCAUGAUUUCAUGUGUUAUUGUAGGACUUUUGAAAGUGUCUACCCUCUUUGUUUAUAUUUAUCUGGUCAUGCACUACAUCUACAUUUAUGUAUCCUACAGUUGUGAAAUUUGAUGUUAGUUAGGACUAGUAUGAAUCAAUGAGUCAUAAUGUUGUAACUCUAGAAGCUUCCUUUUGCUUUGAUUUCCUUCCUUUCUUUGUUGUUUGUUUGGUUGCUUUGGUCUCGGGCAAGUUACACAUGUCAAAUGACUUUACAACCGCUUGUGUUUAUGGUUUUUCUGUUGUAUAGCAGGACCUUAUACGUGGUUGUUGUGAAUCUAUUAUUGGCCGUGCUUGAUUAAUAUAUAGUCGGAUCAAGAUACCUGUUUUGGCUAGAGUGCUAUGUGAUGGCACUGAGGUCAGUUUCCGCUUCAAUUUAUGUAAUCUGUUGGUUUCGCAUUCGGGAAAGUUUCGAGUUGAUUUUAGUAAUUUACAGCUUUAGUUUUAAGCUUAGGCAGAUUUUAUGGCUUUAUGAAUGCACUUGUGAUCAAUCUUUCAUAAAUCAUAAUGAAGUUCAUGAUUUCAUGUGUUAUUGUAGGACUUUUGAAAGUGUUAGGCUUAGAUGAAAGGUUUAUAUAGGGGUUUCAUGGUGGUGGCCAAUAAACAGGCAAGUGAAAGUGGUGGUGUUAUCAUCUAUCACAGCCUUUGUGAUUAUCUAUCACACCCCACCACUACUAACAAUCUCAACUAAUUCUAAGAAUAAAGUCUCAACUAAUUCUGAUAUUAGUUUUAUUAGGAAGGGUUAAUUGUACAGGUAUUUGUCAGGAGAAUAUUGUGUAAAGUCUGUGUGUGCUUGCAGUGCAAGCCAUUGUCCUUUUGAAGGGAAAGUUGUGUGGGGAGAGUUUAAUAUGGAGGAUACUAUUUCUAAUGCGGCUUGAAAUUGUAUUGAUAUGAUCUUCGGCUGAAAACAGUUUUUUGGUACAAGUCAAAAAGGUGCCUUCCCAUGUUGUGGAAGGUAUGAUUUCUGAAAAUAAAUGGGAUCAGUCCCUACCUUGUCUACAACUUCAAAUGUUUAGUGUUAUGUUGGAAUGUGCGUGGUUCUGGGGAAAAGAAGUUUAGAACUGCUGUUUCUCAUUUUGUUCCUCUAUAUGAGUUUGAUGUUUUAAUUGUAUCUGAACCUAGAGUUCCUUUCUCUAGAGCUAAAAUUUUCUUCAAAAACAUGUCGUCUCUGAUGCUGCAAGUGUCUGAUGCUAGAGGUUUGCUAAUAGGAUCAGAAUCAUAGCAUGGUAGUAUGUUUGCUAAUAGGAUUGCUAAUAGGAUCAGAAUCAUCAGACACUAGAAACUCUCAUUUUAAUGGUAGUAUGUUUCAUCUUCUUCAUCAUCAGAUAUCUCAACCUCUGAAGAUACCUUGACCAAUUCAGUUAAAUAACAUAAUUUCAAAAAUUGGUUUGGAGUAGUGAAAAUGGCAGCAGGAGUUUCCAAAUUUCUUUGAAAAUUUAGGUUGGUGUAGUAUGUUGGAGUUACUGCCUCUCCAUGUUGAGAUUGAUUGAUGCAAAUUUUGGGGAUACUGUUGAGAUUGUUGCCUUGUAAUCCUACUUACUGAACUAAGGGAGUUCAAAGUUGUUAACACUAAUUUGAUUGGUACCUACUGAGCUAAUGUGCUGGUUUUAGUAGGGGAUAUCCUAUUGCAUUAAUAGUUGUAAGACUAGCAGCCUUACUUUAUUGUUUAGUAACACCCAAGCUAGAAGAAUCAUAUGUGAAAGUUUGGUCUCCUGGAGUCUGCCUAUUGAGUACUGAGUGGAUAAUGAUCUACUCUCACAUGUCAUAACCAUAACCCCGGCAAAGGUCGGUUCUAUCUUCGUAUGAUGCCAACUAUCUACUUAUCUGGCUUUUGUCUUCUGAAAUUUCAGGAGGUUGCUACUAUCACUAUGGCUUAAAACUAAAUAAUACCCAUGUUAAACCCUCCUCCUUGAAACAUUGUAUGUGUUCGUAGGCACAAUGUUGAUUGGAUGUUAGUAUGUUCUUGAAGAACUAUCUUGAACACAAGAAAUACGUUACUUGCAGAAUGGUCAAAAUUUUAACAA